UAAAGGGUCCUAUGUUCCCCUAGCGGGGAACAUUGGACCCGGGGAACAUAGGGAUGACUCCUUGGGCUCCACUAUCCUUCACGCCACGGUUCUAUUCCCUAGCGUCGCCGCCCAUGAAAAAGCGCAAAUGCGUACAUGAGAAACGGGAAAGCUUCUACGACCAAAAGGGGACGUGCCUCCGCAAAUGCCGCAAGAAACCUGGGAGAUUGGCAGUUUACCACUAGCACCUACCGGCGUACAAUACAAAUGGAUUACACCAGACGUUAUUUGCUCUAACCAAUACGCAGGCCUUGCCCUUUGCCGUCUCUCGUCUCGAGCUUCUCGCUCACAACCAAUCACGUUCUUCUGGUCACUAGUUCUUAAUUGAUUUCAGCUGCGUCUCCCCCGCCUCUCCUCAUAAAGGGCCCCCACCGUGUCGGAUGUUAAUCGUUUAUUUUGCGUUGGAUUGCGUGCGCUGAACAAUCCGGACAUCGUGGCCACCGACGUGGACACCCCGCCACGAGACCCACGCACACCGACCACCACACUGGGAAGUGUCCUCUGCUCCCUGUGGAAGCAGCAUGGAAGAACUGCAGCAACUCUGAUGGAAACUACCGGGCCUCCACGCUGUUGAACACAAACUGUAGGCCUACUACAAACAGAGGCGGUCCCACUCGGUUAAAGAUCUCGAGGUCAAUGCGGCAGACCGCUGGACCUGGACGUCACCUUCUGCAGAUACUUCACUGCCCUCAGGAAUCCACGGAUAAGGUGAAACAUGUCCGAAAAAUGUCCGAAAAAUCCAGGAUGGAAACUUGUGGAAGGAAGAAAGGGUUCUAUUUUUGCUCAACCCAUAACCCCACUGAGACCUUCUGUGGAAACCUGUCUGACUGACUGACCCUACUGACUGGGGGCCUGUUGAUGUGUGUUUGGUUGGUCUGGUAGAAGGUUUGCUGCUUGUGAUCUGCAAGGUGGUCCUGGGUUAGAUGCGGUGUCUGACUUGCACACCACUCUCCCAAUUCUAUUCUUCUCUUUACUACUUUUCUACUUUCAAUACACUUGCUGCUGCUGCUGUUGACCGCUGGUGGUGCAAUGUGGUUUUUAUUCGCGUAUGUUCUGUGGACUUUGCAUUUGUAUUUAUGAACAUGUUUGCCUGUUAGACCUCGGAUUGGCAAACCUAAACUCCUUCACUGGCAAAAUGUAGAUGCAAAUUAAAUGCCAAAAUUAACAUUUCAA